rnacentral:rRNA from 1 species
GACGAACGCUGGCGGCGUGCUUAACACAUGCAAGUCGAACGGAAAGGCCCUGCUUUUGUGGGGUGCUCGAGUGGCGAACGGGUGAGUAACACGUGAGUAACCUGCCCUUGACUUUGGGAUAACUUCAGGAAACUGGGGCUAAUACCGGAUAGGAGCUCCUGCUGCAUGGUGGGGGUUGGAAAGUUUCGGCGGUUGGGGAUGGACUCGCGGCUUAUCAGCUUGUUGGUGGGUAGUGGCUUACCAAGGCUUUGCCGGGUAGCCGGCCUGAGAGGGUGAACGGGCACAUUAGGACUGAGAUACGGACCAGACUCCUACGUGAGGCAGCAGUGGUGAAUAUUACGCAAUGGGCGGGAGCCUGAUGCAGCAACGCCGCGUGCGGGAUGACGGCCUUCGGGUUAUAAACCGCUUUCGCCUGUGACGAGGCGUGAGUGACGGUAAUGGGUAAAGAAGCACCGGCUAACUACGUG